UACGUAGGGUGCAAGCGUUGUCCGGAAUUAUUGGGCGUAAAGAGCUCGUAGGCGGUCUGUCACGUCGGCUGUGAAAUCCCGAGGCUCAACCUCGGGUCUGCAGUCGAUACGGGCAAACUAGAGUAUUGCAGGGGAUACUGGAAUUCCUGGUGUAGCGGUGAAAUGCGCAGAUAUCAGGAGGAACACCGGUGGCGAAGGCGGGUCUCUGGGCAAUAACUGACGCUGAGGAGCGAAAGCGUGGGGAGCGAACAGG
rnacentral:rRNA from 1 species